AACGAACGCUGGCGGCAUGCCUAACACAUGCAAGUCGAACGAGACCUUCGGGUCUAGUGGCGCACGGGUGCGUAACGCGUGGGAACCUGCCCUUAGGUUCGGAAUAACUCCCCGAAAGGGGUGCUAAGACCGGAUAAUGUCUUCGGACCAAAGAUUUAUCGCCUUUGGGUGGGCCCGCGUUGGAUUAGCUAGUUGGUAGGGUAAAAGCCUACCAAGGCGACGAUCCAUAGCUGGUCGGAGAGGAUGAUCAGCCACACUUGGACUGAGACACGGCCCAGACUCCUACGGGAGGGAGCAGUGGGGAAUAUUGGACAAUGGGCGAAAGCCUGAUCCAGCAAUGCCGCGUGAGUGAUGAAGGCCUUAGGGUUGUAAAGCUCUUUUACCCGGGAUGAUAAUGACAGUACCGGGAGAAUAAGCUCCGGCUAACUCCGUG
rnacentral:rRNA from 1 species